rnacentral:rRNA from 1 species
CCUACGGGGUGCAGCAGUGGGGAAUAUUGCACAAUGGGCGCAAGCCUGAUGCAGCCAUGCCGCGUGUAUGAAGAAGGCCUUAGGGUUGUAAAGUACUUUCAGUUGGGAGGAAGGCGUUGAUGCUAAUAUCAUCAACGAUUGACGUUACCAACAGAAGAAGCACCGGCUAACUCCGUGCCAGCAGCCGCGGUAAUACGGAGGGUGCAAGCGUUAAUCGGGAUUACUGGGCGUAAAGCGCACGCAGGCGGUUGAUUAAGUUAGAUGUGAAAUCCCCGGGCUUAACCUGGGAAUGGCAUCUAAGACUGGUCAGCUAGAGUCUUGUAGGGGGGAGUAGAGUUCCAUGUGUAGCGGUGAAAUGCGUAGAGACGUGGAGGAAUACCGGUGGCGAAGGCGGCCCCCUGGACAAAGACUGACGCUCAGGUGCGAAAGCGUGGGGAGCAAACAGGAUUAGAUACCCCUGUAGUC